rnacentral:rRNA from 1 species
CACCAGGUUGAUUCUGCCUGACGUAGACGCUAUACUCUAAGAUUAACCCAUGCAUGUUUAUUGAAAAUAAAGAAAAGACGAACAGCUCAGUAACUCUUAUUUGAUUUGAUGUAUUAGGAUUCUAACUAUGUUAAAUUAUAGGUAACAAUAAUACAAUAAGAAUAAGAUCUAUCAGUUAGUUGUUAAGGUAAUGGCUUAACAAGACUAUGACGGAUAACGGUAUUACUUUGUAAUAUUCCGGAGAAGGAGCCUGAGAGAUUGCUACUAAGUCUAAGGAUUGCAGCAGGGGCGAAACUUGACCUAUGAUAUUAUAUUGAAGCAGUUAUGAGUAGUAUUUUAUAAUUAUUGUAGUAUUGUAAGUACAUAUUACAAGAUAAAUCGGAGGGCAAAUCGAGUGCCAGCAGCCGCGG